rnacentral:tRNA from 1 species
UGCUUGCUGGUCUAGUGGUAUGUUCUCGCUUUGGGUGCGAGAGGUCACGGGUUCGAUUCCCGUGCAAGCCC